GUAAUAUUCCUUCCGUUCCAUAAUUCUUGUCGAAAUCUUAUAUGUAUCUAGACACUUUUUAGGAAUAGAUACAUUCAUUUUUGGACAAAUUUGAGACAAGAAUUAUGAAACGGAGUGAGUACUAU
rnacentral:pre_miRNA from 1 species